CGGGGCCGGGCUGCAGCACUCAGUUUCUGAGCAAGCUGGAAAGCAAGCCUUGGCGAUGGAAGUGGGGGGAGGCAUCCAGCUUCCUGCUGACCAGAAGAAGCCAGAGGAACCACACUGGCAGUCAUGGGAUGUGUGUACCUCUGAACUCCCUAUUCUCUCCUCUGGGAGCAGAGAUGGGGCAAACUGACGACCUGCAUCCCCAGAAGACCAAUUCAGUGAGUCUAGAGGUUUCUACAUUCCUUCUGGGUCUCUUCCAUCACCUCCACAGGACUACCCUCCUCGAGUCUACAGUCUAGGAUAGUCCAGAUGGUCACAUUCUCCGAGCACGGCACUUCAUUUUGUAGAAUUUCUCAAAUGAGGAAAGAAAAGCUAUGCAUGUUUUCUUCAAGGUCCCAGCUUUUAUAUGGUUUGGUGGGUUCAUGGUUCUUAUUUCAAUGUUUCAUUAAAAAUAAACAAGUCAA